ensembl:lncRNA
CGGUAUUUCAAGACUGUCCUCGGUUUGUCUUCUCGCUGAUGGGAGGAGAAGAAGGAGGAGGAAAAGGAAAAGGAGGAGGAGGAAGAUGAAGAGGAAGAGGAGAAGGAAGAGGAGAUGCUGUUGGCACCGCUGAACAUGCCUCUUACUGUCAACGACUGGCAAAUGCAAAAGGGCUUAAAAACAGCGAGGGAAUUUUGUGCCGGAAAAGCAUAGAAUGGCUCUGCAGCAUAAAACUUUCAUUCUCUUCAUUUCUCCGGAUGGAUGUUCUUGCCAUUUUUUCCUCUUUCGCUCUAUUUGCCUGUUUUGGCUGUCAGAGUCUUGCCUCUCUCUGUCCUCAUCUCCACCGUCGUUUGCCUCUCAGUAACUGUGAGGAGCAGUUUCUUUUUUGCUGUUUCCUUCCCAAGCCUCUUCUUUCCUCUAACCUGCCUCUUUGCUUUUCAGUUCUUCCCUCCUCCUCCUGCCUCAGCCCUAAGCCUGCGAUCUCGGCUGGCAGUUUCUGAGCUCCGAGCGCUCCGCUUCUCUGUUUUUGCGCAGCGCCCUCAUUCUGCCAACCAAUCGCCGAGGAGCACCACCCACCGAGUCAGAGCUAAUUGGACAAACCGGCCGUCAGGAAUGCGCGUCACGCAGUAACCGGGCCGGGCGGGAUGGAACCCGCGCCUGGGCUGCCUGGAUCUGCAGGAUUGAAAUGAAAUGUUUUGAGGUCUUCAAGCUGACUCAUCGGAAUAAUCCUGGAGCAUUUUUAAAAUGACGGAAAUGAAAGGAAAUGACUUAAAGACAAUUUUAAAUAUAGGAAGAAAUCACCAAAGGAAGAAGAUGAUAGAAUUUUAUUUACUUACUAUUUACUCCAGAAAGCAGGAGAAGAAAAAAAAAAAAGCCGCAAAUAUCUAAGGGACAGCAACAGGAAGCGCUUCUAGAGCAGAGCUGCUAUCCUCUUCUGGAAGCUGCUGCUCAGUAGACUGUCUCCACCGAAACUGCUGAUCGUGACAACAGAGGCAGAUUCUGGAAGGGAACUCCAGGAUUCACAAGUCAGACAUGUCUGUUAACAGCAUGGAAAUACAUAUGGAGCACCUACCGUGUACUCCGGGCUUCUCUGCCUGCCAGUGCAGCAGAUGCGGUUUUGAUCCCUGGUCCAGUAAGAUCCCCUGGGGAAGGAAAUAGAAACCCACUCCAGUAUUCUUGGCUGAAAAUCCCCACGGACAGAGGAGCCUGGCGGCUACAGUCCAUGGGGUCGCAAAGAGUCAGACACUGCUUGGCAACUCACCACCGCCGUGAUGUACUAGAGUGUUUGGAAUACAUUAUGAAUAAAAUAGACAGAUGUUCUCAACUGCUGGUUUUUUUUCUUUUUUGGUGUGUGUGUGUAAUAAAUAAAUAAACUAGUGUGUUGGAAAGUGAAAAGUGCCAUGGAGAAUAGGAAAAGAACAGGUCAAGAGGAUCUCUUAAUUUAAAAUUAAGGAGAUCAAUUUUUUCCUUCUCAAAUUUGUGAGGAUAAUAGAACUCAGACAUGAAGUAGAUUGGGUUCUUAGUAACUGGCUAUGGUUGUUUUGCCAUGGCAAGAGAAAACAAACAGAACUUGAGAUGUUCUUUUUUAAGGUUUCCUUUAGGAGUUGCUUUAAAGUAGAUUUCUCAUUAUCCACUAAAUUGAAUGUUUUCCCACUAGGCAAUUUGCCCCUAACACUAAAUUAGGGGGAGAACCACUAAAACAACUCUGUCAUUUAAUGACGAGGAGGUUUUAAAAGUAAAGGGAUGUCUACAUGGGAUGUAGAGUAGGUUUCAAUUUUUUGAUAGUUGCUUCUUUUUCCCCCCAUCAGAAACAAAAGGGAGUAUUUAAAGAUGUGUUGGUGGAGGGGAAAAUUGGGUUUAGGAUAUUAAGUCCCCAGCAGGAGACUUUAGAAUUUCUUGGUUGCCUCAACAAAACCUUUAUCUUCCAUGGGGAAUAGUUAAACAAUGAUAACAAAGGAAAUUAAAAGCAAAGCAAUGUCUAGUGACUGUCGUUUGAGCAAGUACGUUUCCUAGAAAAACUGAUGAUGAAUAACUUUGUCAAAUUUGAGUGCUUUAAGUGCCUACCUCCAUUGACCUUUACAAAAAUAUGAUUUGCCUUCAAGUUGUAAUGAAAAAUGCAUCAACACGCUAAAUGUCAAUAUGAUAGACUCUUCUAGAAUGUACUGUCUGCCAAUAGUAUAGGGUGUGUUGCCUCUACAUGCUUCAUAAGGUUUCUCUCAAUUCAUUCAGGUAUCUAACUAGACAAGCAGUGGUCUUAGAACAAGUUAUGUCCUUUGUCCAUACAAAAUCUGUAAGUAUAAAAUGCUUGUAGUGCUCUGGAUGGUUUUUUUCUUGCUAAAAUUUCAUUGUUUGAUUUUAUCAAUAUGCCUCUCUCCCACGCUUGCUUAUUUAUUUGCUUAAUAACUACAUACAUUCAUUUACUCACAUAUUAAAAAAUAUUAAUAUGAAAUGAACUCCUUUAUGUUUGGGACAUUGUGCUAAAUACUUACAAACUCCUGGAUAAAAAUGUUUUUAUAUGAAAAGUGGAACUGUGAUAUGGUUAGUCUCAAUACCUAAUUUGAGAAUGACUAGUUCUUUCUGGAUAACAGCUGUAUAUAGGAAAGGGGAAAUGGAUGAUUGUGAAGACAUACAUAGAAGUCUCACUAGGUUUGGAAGCAGAGACACAAACUGGAUUAAUUCAGUUAGGUGCUACAUAUGUGAUAGCCAUAAUGAUGACAGAGAAAAUGUUACAUGUUGUUGCCUAUAUUCCUCUUAAUAAGACAGAUAUUUUAAUACAUUUCAGAAUUAUUUCAGCACAGUAGUCCUUUAUGUGGAGUUAAUAACAAAUUGCAUUAUUCAUAACAAUUGUUCAUAUUGAUAUAUUUAAGUAGUUUGUGAAAUUUUUAAAGUUCGUUUGUAAAUUACUUUGUAGGGAUGAUUUUAUUUUUAAACAUGGAUGGAUCAGUUAUACCAUUAUAUAUUUUAUUCACUCUAUUUUUUUAGUUGUACUAUUUCUGUCCUACUGGUUUCCUGCAACAACCUGUUUUCUUUCUGUAAAGAAUUUCUUACACUUUAUAGAUUUGCAAUGCAAUUAGUGGAUGCAUUUCUAAUCCUUCUAAACAUUCAAAUAUUGAUGUAUAAAUCACUCUUCCACCUACACACAAUGGGUUCUAUUUUAUUACAUCAUAUGUAGAACUAUCUUAUACAUACUUACCUGUGAAUGUCUAGUUUCUAACUUAAUUUCAUCCCAUAGAGUUGAAACUGUGUUUUAGUUUUUUUCAGUAUUAUAUUUUAGCUUCUGUAGAAUGGUUGUGAAAUUUCAUGUAAUACCUUUCUGGGAGAGAUGAAAGUAAUUAAGAAGCACAAAGGUACCUAUUUAAUUAGCAUAGUUGUAUCCUCAGAAGAAUCUUUGGUUGUGAAAAGUCUAAGGGAGCUUGCCCUUAGUUAAUUGAAUCAGAGCAUUUUUCACUUUUUUCAUGUCUCUCCACUUUAUUUGAUUUUGUUAUAUUCUCCACAAUGACUCACUAAAAAAAAAUUCCAGAGUAUAUAUUUUCUCCUAAGUAAUAUUUUGUUGAAGCCUGUAAAUCUGUGGUCAAAUCUAGGAUCAAUAUCAAUCCUAUUUUGUUACCAGGAAGGCACCGGAUGUAUUUUUAUGAUAAGAAGGUAUUCAAAUAUGAAAAUAUAUCUCGUUGAUCUUUAAGAGUAAGGAAUUUAAUAUGCUGACAUCUACUGAACAGUUCAAAUGCAGUUUGAGAGCUGCUUAAUCUUCUUUUCAUGUGGAUAUUGCUAAACUACAGGUAUAGAGCUUGUCUCACAUAUAGAUCCUUGCUUCCCUAGAUAAUUGUAGUAUUCACUAAGGUGAACUUUAUCUAUUUCAGCUUAAUAUUUCUUUGAAAGGGCAGUCCUAAUUUAGAAGCAAGUGAAUAAAAGGCAUCAUGCUUUUAAUUACUUUUAGAAAAGAAGUUAGUUCUUUCCCCUUUGAAUACUCUAAAUUAGAUUAAACAUUUUGGGGAGAGACAAAACAGAGGGGAGUUGCCAGUGGAGAAGUGUGUGGGAACCAAAUGUAAAGUUACCAGUCCUUUUACGAAUAAAGGAAACCGAGAAAAACAGCAGCUGCCAUUUCAGCUCAAUAACUCCAGUAACCUCCUAGUGAAAUCAUUUUGAGACUGCUGGGUGGAAAUAGUUUAAAGGUCUAUUGUAAAAGAAAUAAGAAUUUUAUUCAUUAAUUAGGUGCGUCAGAGACUGCUUUGAGUUUUUGUAAAAAUGAAUGACCUUUUAUUCCCUGGUUAUAGUUACAUCCUUAAACUCUUGAUUUCCUGUGCCCCAUUCCAUUUCUGUUUAAGAUUUCACCUUUGCAAAUACUAGGCCAGUUGCGAAAAGGUUUUCAUUUCCCUUUCACUCUAGUAAAAAAAGCAGAGUAACUGUUUUUAAAAUUAACACAUGACAGGAGGGAUAUAAAUUGCAAAAUUGAAAUCUCUUGAUAAUGCAUAAGUGAUAGAGUGAGGGAACAUUUUGUUAACGUGUUUUGCGUUUCUUACCUCAGCGGAGAUGGAUAGUGAAGAUAUUUUUGGUCUUAUAGUGAAUUAUUUUUUGUUUUUGUCAUAAAAUAUUGGACUUUCAUGGAGAUUAUUUUCAGUUUUGCUCCUUUACAGUUGAGAUUGGUUCAAAGGCAGAAUUUAUGCCAGCAUUUGGAAUUUUGAUCUUUAGCAUGUAUUAUGUAGUAAUUCACAUUUGAUUAAUUUAGAAUUUCUGAAAAUGUGAAUCUAACAUUGAACUAUUUUGGCACAGUGGAAAAAAAGCAUGCUAAACAAAUAAAUAGUAUAAACAAUUAGAGAGGAAAAGUAUAAAUACUUCAAGCAGUUUUCAAAGUUUUAAUAGUUGAAAAUGUUCAAAGCAUUAUGACAGUUUCAACUCACUUAUUAAUUAUAGCAUUUAUCUUCCUAAUAAAUAGUUGUCUGUUUUAGAUAACAUAUUUCAAGUUAUUAUAGUUUCUUAAAAACAACUAUUUUUAAAUUUUUUCAGUUAUAAUGAAUUAGCGUGUGUGUGUAUGUAUGUGUUAGUGACUCAGCUGUGUCCAACUCUUUGCGGCCUCAUGGACUGUAGCCCCCCAGGCUCCUCUUUCUAUGGAAUUCUCCAGGCAGGAAUGCUGGAGCGGAUUGCCAUUCCCUUCCCAACCCAAGGAUCAAACCUGGGUCACCUGCAUGGCAGGCUGAUUCUUUACUGUCUGAGCCACCUAUACAUCUUAACCAAAUAGUACACUGUGCAAAAAUUUGAGUUCUGCUCCUAUUCUCUUCAUUCAAGAUACCCAAUCAUCAGGGCCAAGUAUUUGAACUUUAGAGGAUUUUUCUUUUGGUGUUUGCAUCUAUAUAUCUAAAUGGCUUGUUUCUAUUUCUAUUUAUGGAUUUCUCGGUUUUACAUUCUAUGUAUCCAUUCAUGUCCCAGAGUAGAAGCUUUUUUAGCAGUCUGUUCAUACAUAUGAACAUACAUUUUCUCUACCUCCAUUGUUUCACUAGAGGUUUAUCAUAACUUUUGGUUAAAACGUUAUUCAGUCGUUACAUUAAUAUGUGUUUGUAAGUGUUUCUAUCUGAGCUAAAUACUAUAUAUUAUGAAUAUAAUUGCUUUCUUGUGUGACACUUUAUCUGGAGUUAAUCACUUGCUUUAUUAUGUGUUUAGUUUGUAUAUCCUUAUCACUCCAAAUUCUCAGAAGUGCCAUAAAGUUUUCUCAUUACAAAUACAUCAUGUAAAUCAGAUGAUCUAGUUUCUUUCUUGCUUUCUUCUUUAUUUCCAACUUUAGCAUCUUAUGCCAUUCUGCAGUGGCUAUCAAUGGAGAGCUUCCUUUCAUCUUCAUCGAAUCAUCCCCCAAUUCCCUUUGCUUUUCUCUUUAUUGAUUUUAUUCGCUCUUUUUCAUUUUGAGAAUCAUUUAUGUGUGGUACUUAUCCAGUCAGUUUUAAAUGCAGAAUAAAAUGUUGACUUAAUGCUCAAAAUAAAAGGGUUGAUUGGAUGUUGUGUGUGCAAGGUCAGCAUGAGAAUGCAGCACAUCCCUAAUGUUAGGGAGAAUCAUUUAAUUGGGGAUUCUUAAAUAUCAGUGUCUAGAAACCAUCUUUAUGGCAGAAAGUGAAGAGGAACUAAAAAGCCUCUUGAUGAAAGUGAAAGAGGAGAGUGAAAAAGACCCUCAAGAGUCUUCUCCAACACCACAGUUCAAAAGCAUCAAUUCUUCGGCGUUCAGCCUUCUUCACAGUCCAACUCUCACAUCCAUACAUGACUCCUGGAAAACCAUAGCCUUGACUAGAUGGACCUUUGUUGGCAAAGUAAUGUCUCUGCUUUUGAAUAUGCUAUCUAGGUUGGUUAUAACUUUUCUUCCAAGGAGUAAGUGUCUUUUAAUUUCAUGGCUGCACUCACCAUCUUCAGUGAUUUUGGAGCCCCCCAAAAUAAAGUCUGCCACUGUUUUCACUGUUUCCCCAUCUAUUUUCCAUGAAGUGAUGGGACCCGAUGCCAUGAUCUUAGUUUUCUGAAUGUUGAGCUUUAAGCCAACUUUUUCACUCUCCUCUUUCACUUUCUGGUUUAAAUAUAUAGAAUUGAUUGGAUUCACCCAACUACACAGAACAAUAAUAUUCCCUUAUCACAUGUGCUUAUAUAAAUUUAUUUCAAUCUUGUGGAAGAGCAUGGUGGAAAGCAACAUUGCCUGAAAUGAGUUCUAAAAUGUCAUUGAGGCUUCAUCUGCAUCUCUAUUCUGCCAUCCCAGGGUGUGGCAUUCCUCUACAGGGUCCAAAAUUUCUGAUGUAGACACUUAAUCACUGUGGUGUCUCUGGUAGUAAAACAAAGGAAGAGAGGAGGAUAGCAUAGCUCCUCCCUUAGAAAAAGACCUUGUCAACCUCCAACCCAUUCCUUUUCAUCUCUUUUACCACAAUUUGAUCAUAUUUGUGGUCCUUUAUUCUGUGUGGUAUCAUGGCAGGCUAAAAAUAACUUACUAAAUUUAAAUAAAAGUGAGGGAAUGGAGGAUGGAGUAUGCAUCUAACAGUCCUAAAUUAAGUCACUGGCGUAUAGAUUACAUUUGCAAAUAUGGAUAUGUGUGAAU